UGAUGACCGAUGUUUGAUCUACGCUAAAGUGUGGAAUAAACUUCGUGGGAGAGAGAUUAUAGCAAUUUGUUUACGAAUUGCCAGGAACCGCCUAAAUAGCCAUCAUUGUCUGUAUGGCGCAAUCUGACUGGCUGAUAGUUCUCAUGAAUAUUCCAAGCAAAAGCUGCACAGUAGGAAGUUAGAGCUUGAUAUUGUCAACGCUUACUUUUAUGCGGCGUUAAUUGUGUGUUGUACUUCCUGGAUAGCCAUUUUCCCGUCCACCAGGUUAAAAAAUUCCCAUGAUCAAUUCUAUAUAUAGCUGUACUGGAAUGUGUUGAGACAAGAGGAGAGAGGCUUUCAUUCAAGGAAUGAAGUUAACAUUAACCAGCAAUCAUCCCAUCGCUAGUUUCUGGAUAUGUGCAAGCUGGAAUUGGCAAGGAAAAGUAAAACAAACAUGAACUAUGCACUGGGAGCUACUUUUGAUGGUGUUUUUCUUUACAAAGGUCAGCUGUGGGAGUAUUUUUAAUACAGUAGGAGGCGCACCCUCACCAAAUGCAUCUGUAAGUAACGCUACACACGAGACUGGAAACGUAAAUGUGACGGAGCAUGCGUUCAACAUCUCAAACGAUAACUCAUCGUAUAUCACGAACGAAAGACAGGAAAUGAGAAAUAUAACAGUUUCUGAGACCGAGCGUGCACGUGAACUGCCUGGAUACGUCAUUGCUAUCGCUGUAUCCCUGAUUGUUGUUGUUUUUAUUUGUAUUGUGGUUGUGUUGUUUUGCUACAGGAAUAAACUAAACACCUGCGGGUGUCAAAACAAUUUCUCGUUCAGUACAUGUCUGGUCCUUUCUGAAACAUCGGAGCCAGCGGAGCAGGAUGUGAUCUCCGGUGAAAGUGUCAAAAUGAUGCCAGGAGAGCAAACAUGAAAUCAUAAAGUGACGUUUUCUCCCACAAUCAUAUUAAUGAUACUUAAUAUAUGUUUUAUGUGUUGAUAUUUCCCGAUAUUUGGUGUUUAUUGUAAGUAACUAUUUCCAGUGAUACUUCUGUUACAGCCUGAAUUUGUAGGAAUUAAAUAUAGUUUGCUGUAUGUCGUGGAUAAUUAAUAAUUACAUUUACAAAGAAGGAAUUAUCUAAAAUUAAAUUUUGGUAUUGAGAAACACCUAUUUUAUCGAAGAAAUCCUUCCUUAACAUAAUAUAUAAGGAGCAGUGUAACAAAAAUACUUUUUUAUUUGUAUUUCAUUUUGAUCACACAGAACACAAAUUCUGUCCUCAAAUGGUUUGCAUUGAUAUCGACCAGUUUCGAUUCUCCGUAUCUUAACAUGGCCAUAGUUGAUUUCACGUUUUGGUGGGUGUAAUUCCACAAAUUUUUCGACACUGUUUUGAGUUCUAAAGAGCGAGUAAGUUCUGAGUUAGGGAAUAUUGGGAAUAUUUUGGACGCAAUGAACCGAGGAUUGCUGACGUAAUUUGGCGUAUUGCAAAAAAUAGAAAAUGCUAUAGUUGAAUCAAUUUUCAUCACUGUCAUAUGCUAAAUGUUGUGACCAUUUCUGUCAAAAUACUUCCGUUUAUUACUGGAUGUUUUGUGUACAUGUAUGUAUGUUAAAUAAUCUAAUGCUGUACUACCACUAAUUAGUCAUCUUCUUUCAAACAUAUCCUUUUCAUAUCAAUCAUAACUAUGUCAAUAUAAAAUGUGUAUUUUUAAAAUUGUUGUUAUUCCGAUAAACUGCAUGCAGUAGAUUUGAGAAAGUUAAGCCUGAUGAUUGUUGACGAUUAAAUGUUGAUGCUAAUGGAAUAAAUAAAAAAAGAUGUUACCCAUGA